rnacentral:lncRNA from 1 species
GUUUACCUGUCAAGCCUCGGCAAUGGCGGCACCCCUCACCCAGCCUCACUGCUGCCUUGCAGUUUGAUCUCAGACUGCUGUGCUAGCAGUAAGUGAGGCUCCGUGGGCAUAGGACCCUCCGAGCCAUGCAUGGGAUAUAAUCUCCUGGUGUGCCGUUUGCUAAGACCCUUGGAAAAGCGCAGCAUUAGGGUGGGAGUGACCUGAUUUUCCAGGUGCCGUCUGUCACCCCUUUCUUUGACUAGGAGAGGGAAUUCCCUGACCCCUUGCGUUUCCCCGGUGAGACGAUGCCUCACCGUGCUUCAGCUUACACUCGGUGCACAGCACCCACUGUCCUGCACCCUCUGUCCUACACUCCCCAGUGAGAUGAACCCGGUACCUCAGUUGGAAAUGCGGAAAUCACCCGUCUUCUGUGUCGCUCACACUGGGAGCUGUAGACUGGAGCUGUUCCUAUUCGGCCAUCUUGGCUCCACCGCUCCUCAUUGAAUCUUAAGAUCUGUAAGGUGGAGAU